rnacentral:sRNA from 1 species
AAUUUUUUUUCUACAUGCGUUAUCUGCAUUUUUCGGAUAAUUUUUUUUUAAUUUUCGUUUUGAGGUUUAAUUCUAUUGCGGAAAAUUCAAAAUCUUACAGAGGAGACCGGAGAAUUUAACCUAAUGGUUUACACCAACAUUU